AGAGCGAACGCUGGCGGCAGGCCUAACACAUGCAAGUCGAGCGCCCGUAGCAAUACGGGAGCGGCAGACGGGAUAGUAACACGUGGGAACGCGCCCUUCGGUUCGGAAUAACUCAGGGAAACUUGAGCUAAUACCGGAUACGCCCUUACGGGGAAAGAUUUAUUGCCGAAGGAACGGCCCGCGUCCGAUUAGCUAGUUGGUGAGGUAAUGGCUCACCAAGGCUCCGAUCGGUAGCUGGUCUGAGAGGAUGACCAGCAUCACUGGGACUGAGACACGGCCCAGACUCCUACGGGAGGCAGCAGUGGGGAAUAUUGGACAAUGGGCGCAAGCCUGAUCCAGCCAUGCCGCGUGGAUGAUGAAGGCCUUAGGGUUGUAAAGUCCUUUAACGGGGAAGAUAAUGACGGUACCGUAGAAUAGCCCCGGCUAACUUCGUGCCAGCAGCCGC
rnacentral:rRNA from 1 species